AAGACUAUACUUUCAGGGAUCAUUUCUAUGUUUUGUUACUAGAGAAGUUUCUCUGAAUGUGUAGAGCACCCGAAACCACAAGGAAGAGGCACAGCGUUCUCUCUGAGCACGAAGCUGGCUUUUGGUGUCGCUAUUGCAAGUGCUAUUAGCCGUUGAUGAUUGUUCUUCUAUUCCUUUGUUAGAGUAAGAGGGAGAUAAUGAAGUCUGAGUGGU